CUAUUCGCUGUAGUGACAGUUUCAUUGGCUGUGCAGAAGCUUUUUAAUUUGAUCAGGGAGCAAGAUGGUGGACAAGAGACUUCACCAGCCAGAGCAUCUCUGUAAGAAGGAGAAGUUUUAGAAGAAAGAGAAAAAACAAACGGACAGACAAACGUAGAAUGGAAGAGGGUCUGAAGGAAGGGUGGCUGAACCUACAGGAGACUGCACAGGAAGAAGUUGCAGAGCAGAACUGGAAGGAGAAAGGCAUCUGGGAUUAAGCUCCAAGAGGCUUGGAGGCCAGUGAGAAGGGUGACAAGAGCUGACAGGCAGAGUUGGAGUGCUAGAGAGGGAACAGCAACCUUUUGCAACCAUCACAGUAAAGAUUUAGAGCCCUCUGUUGACAGUGAGGUGUUGGGUUGAUGAGGCAAGAUGAGAGGUGGAGUCAGCAGGUGUCCGAUCUCUGCAGGGAUCCAGGCCUGACCGGGGGCGUUGGCAGUGGUGCUGGAGAUGAGGCGACUAUUUCGAGAUGUGUUUAA